GGCUACAACAGAGGACACAGG
rnacentral:miRNA from 13 species